rnacentral:rRNA from 1 species
UACGUAGGGUGCAAGCGUUGUCCGGAAUUAUUGGGCGUAAAGAGCUCGUAGGCGGUCUGUCGCGUCGGCUGUGAAAUCCCGAGGCUCAACCUCGGGUCUGCAGUCGAUACGGGCAAACUAGAGUAUUGCAGGGGAGACUGGAAUUCCUGGUGUAGCGGUGAAAUGCGCAGAUAUCAGGAGGAACACCGAUGGCGAAGGCAGGUCUCUGGGCAUUAACUGACGCUGAGGAGCGAAAGCAUGGGGAGCAAACGGG